AAGGUGACCUCUUCACAAUGUUGCCGUUCAAGGAUGGGCUCGCGGUCCAUUAGCUUGUUGGUAGGGUAACGGCCUACCAAGGCGACGAUGGAUAACCGGCCUGAGAGGGUGUACGGUCACACUGGAACUGAGACACGGUCCAGACUCCUACGGGAGGCAGCAGUGGGGAAUAUUGCGCAAUGGGGGCAACCCUGACGCAGCGACGCCGCGUGAGCGAUGAAGGUCUUCGGAUUGUAAAGCUCUGUCAGAUGGGAAGAAAUGCUUUAAUCUCAAUAGGAUUAUUGUUUGACGGUACCAUCAGAGGAAGCCCCGGCUAACUCCGUGCCAGCAGCCGCGGUAAUACGGAGGGGGCAAGCGUUGUUCGGAAUUACUGGGCGUAAAGGGCACGUAGGCGGCCUGAUUAGUCAGGCGUGAAAUCCCAUGGCUCAACCAUGGAAUUGCGUUUGAUACUGCCAGGCUUGAGUAUGGGAGAGGAGAGUGGAAUUCCUAGUGUAGCGGUGAAAUGCGCAGAUAUUAGGAGGAACACCAGUGGCGAAGGCGACUCUCUGGCCCGAUACUGACGCUGAGGUGCGAAAGCGUGGGGAGCGAACGGGAUUAGAUACCCCGGUAGUCCACGCUGUAAACGAUGGGUACUAGGUGUAGGGGAGUAUGAAAUCUUCUGUGCCGAAGCUAACGCAUUAAGUACCCCGCCUGGGGAGUACGAUCGCAAGAUUGAAACUCAAAGGAAUUGACGGGGGCCCGCACAAGCGGUGGAGCAUGUGGUUUAAUUCGACGCAACGCGAAGAACCUUACCAAGGCUUGACAUGUUUCUGCUACCCUGUGAAAACAGGGGUUCCUUCGGGACAGAUACACAGGUGCUGCAUGGCUGUCGUCAGCUCGUGUCGUGAGAUGUUGGGUUAAGUCCCGCAACGAGCGCAACCCUUACCCUUAGUUGCCAGCGGAUAACGCCGGGGACUCUAAGGGAACUGCCCCGGUAACGGGGAGGAAGGUGGGGAUGACGUCAAGUCCUCAUGGCCUUUAUGCCUUGGGCUACACACGUGCUACAAUGGGUGGUACAAAGGGAAGCAAUACCGCGAGGUGGAGCGAAUCCCAAAAAACCAUCCCCAGUUCGGAUUGGAGUCUGCAACUCGACUCCAUGAAACCGGAAUCGCUAGUAAUCAUGGAUCAGCACGCCAUGGUGAAUACGUUCCCGGGCCUUGU
rnacentral:rRNA from 1 species